rnacentral:lncRNA from 1 species
AAUGGUUUGGAUUCUUGGAGUUUCAACUUUAAUGGUGAAGGGUAGGGUUGCAGGAUCAAAGCUUGGGCAAGGUCUCUCCUAUUCUGAGCAUGAGGCAAUGUAUUUAUAGGAUAUGCAAUUGAUUUCCACACACUUCCAUCAAAAUGCCAAAAAUAACAAUUCUUACUUGCAUGGAUGGAUAGGCGUGUGAUAGGCCCAUGAAAU